UUUUAUCAGAUUUUAAGUACC
rnacentral:piRNA from 1 species